CCUACGGGAGGCAGCAGUAAGGAAUAUUGGACAAUGCUCGCAAGAGUGAUCCAGCCAUGCCGCGUGCAGGAAGACGGCCCUAUGGGUUGUAAACUGCUUUUGAACUAGAGAAAACCCUCCUACGUGUAGGAGGCUGAUAGUAUAGUUAGAAUAAGCAUCGGCUAACUUCGUGCCAGCAGCCGCGGUAAGACGAAGGAUGCAAGCGUUAUCCGGAUUCAUUGGGUUUAAACGGGAGCGUAGGUGGACUGAUAAGUCAGUGGUGAAAUCUCUCGGCUUAACCGAGAAAUUGCCAUUGAUACCUGUUGGUCUUGAGUACAGUUGCUGUGGGCGGAAUAUGACAUGUAGUGGUGAAACUACAUAGAGAUGUCAUAGAACACCGAUUGCGAAGACAGCUCACAAGGCUGUAACUGACACUGAGGCUCGAAAGUGCGGGGAUCAAACAGGAUUAGAUACCCUGGUAGUCCGCACCGUAAACGAUGAUUACUCGCUGNGNGGUAGGUACGUUACUAGUGUCGUAGACGAACGACGAGAAGUAAGUACCGACCGUCGGGUAGGUACGGCCGGCCGACCGGUACGAACGUACGAACGAAGUUAGUACGGACGGUUGAGGACGNGCCGACGGACGACCGACGACGGGGAGGUAGGG
rnacentral:rRNA from 1 species